GUAGGUCUUACAAGGUUUACAGCAACCACAACUUGCCAUUAAUCAUACCUUCUGCUCACUGCCUUGUCAGUCGGUAUGCUUCUUCUAACCAUAAACUUAACCACCUUCAGUCAGCUCACCUUGUGAGCAGGCUGACCUUUGGGUAAUUGUGACCCUUUCUGUUCUGUUUCUAACUCUGACUGUAUGUGAAUUUACCUCCAU